rnacentral:misc_RNA from 1 species
UUUCCGUAGGUGAACCUGCGGAAGGAUCAUUAAUAAAUAGUGUAUUAUGGAGCUUUUUCGAUCAAUAUCCACCUUGUGCACAAUGUAAGUCGUUCACACACAUGGGAAUGACCACAAAUUAAACCACUCCUUAACUCCUUGUUUGAAAAAUACUACGGAUAACAUAAUUCUAAAUACAACUUUUAACAACGGAUUUCUUGGUUUUUGCAUUGUUGAAGAACGCAGAAGAUAGGCAGCGUACAAGCCUGAACUCCUGUCAUGCAUCGUCAAUUCAUAAGC